GUGAGAUAUAGGACUUCAUCUGGCUCACGUGUUCUUGGGAUCCACGGUGGUACCAGGACUGCUCUGGGAUGCUUGCUUUCACAGGCAGACACCCCUUUCUUGGCCUCUGGAUGAUCUUCAAGGUUUUCCUUGUCUUUUCUUGUUGUCCUGACAACUCAGGUCCUGACUCAUGAAGAGCCUCUCUCCACAUGAACAAACACAUUGAUGAUUUUUGCCUUCCUGUGUCUGGUUCUCAGAAUGAUAUUUGGGAAUUCUCACUAGGGAUGCUGAUUAGAUGGCUAAUGACAAGCUUCAAAUCACAGGACAUUGAAACAAAUUUAAAAGAAAAAAAAGUUUGUCCCAGUCCUGAUUGUAAACCAUUCAGCUGCCUUCAAACUCAGAUCCAAAUGUCUUACCAUAUACACGUCGCCCUCUUUGAUCUGGACUCUUCCUGCUGUUUCACCAAUUCCCCAAUACUCCUUGGCUCCUAUGAAACUAAGGAUGUUGCAUUUGAGGCAAUUUUCUGUGAACCCUGUUAG
ensembl:lncRNA